rnacentral:rRNA from 1 species
AGCGAACGCUGGCGGCAGGCUUAACACAUGCAAGUCGAACGCCCGCAGCAAUACGGGAGUGGCAGACGGGUGAGUAACGCGUGGGAACAUGCCCUUUGGUUCGGAAUAACUCAGGGAAACUUGAGCUAAUACCGGAUAAGCCCGAGAGGGGAAAGAUUUAUCGCCGAAGGAUUGGCCCGCGUCCGAUUAGCUAGUUGGUGAGGUAAUGGCUCACCAAGGCGACGAUCGGUAGCUGGUCUGAGAGAAUGAUCAGCCACACUGGGACUGAGACACGGCCCAGACUCCUACGGGAGGCAGCAGUGGGGAAUAUUGGACAAUGGGGGCAACCCUGAUCCAGCCAUGCCGCGUGAGUGAUGAAGGCCCUAGGGUUGUAAAGCUCUUUCGGCGGGGACGAUAAUGACGGUACCCGCAGAAGAAGCCCCGGCUAACUUCGUGCCAGCCGCCGCGGUAACAC